UGCCCUCCGAUCCCACAAGUGACUUUCCACGAGCUGCUCGUACACUCUGUGAGCCUGAUGUCCUCAUCAGCAACACAGACUUAACGAUCCUUAUUUCACAGGAUCCGGUUUUGUUCUUGUUUGUUUUCAAGGGAGAAGAAAGCCUGCGAUGCCCACUCGGGAAGGGCAACUGCUUUUCAGGAAACCGGGGCCCGCUUUCAGGGGCAACCCAUUACAUCACAAUGGCCCCCAGAAUUGUCACAAUGGCAUGUGUGAACAGGAAGGGUGCCAGGAGCAGAUGAGACACGGGAAGAGGAAGUGAUGAAGCAGUGCGUUCUCUUACUAACAACCACUGUGUGUCCGAGGGAAACCACAGUGAAGGAUAAGAAGAGGCCAGGAAGAGGACAGAGUUAUGUCCAGUGUUCCUCUGUGUUUGUGAAUGGCACCGCCCCACACCCUUUCCCCCAAAUAUCUAAGGCGUGUGCUGUGUUACACACUCAAGCUCAUGUGAGCUGGAAGAGGCUUCAUCUGUGACCCCAGCACCCAAAAUUCCUCCUUAUUCCAGAGGCUUUCUGGGGACAAUCUUGGUCUCUUUUCGUGAAAAUGUAUUUUCCAGACUAUUUCAGAAUUCCCUUUUACAAGAAAGGAGUGUGGACUACAAUUACAAAUGCUUCAGCCCUUCCCACCUGAUAAUGAACUCGGCUUCAUGUGCAGAUCUGUGCUGUUCACUUUGUUCCAAAGGCAGACCAACUACAAAUAAGAUGUCAUCACUCAACAGCAAGGAAGAGCUUGAAGGAAGGGAAACCACAGCAUUGCAUCAGAAGGGCCACAAAUAGCGCUUUAAAUAGCACACCAGAUCGUGGAGAACUUUCUGGAAUAGUCCCAGGCAAGCUUCCCAUCUGGGCUUGUUGGUACAGACUUUCAGCAUUGUCUACAGUGUCCUUGGGCCAUACAGCUUCAGUUUGGGGGCUGCAAUUCUCUUUGGAAGAAGUCACUCUGACAUCAGCCUGUGAAAAGAGAACAGCUUGAUUUCCACUGGCUUGCUUGUGGAAGACACAUCUAAGCAUCAGUUGCUGCAAUCUUCUCCAAAGGAUGAUAAGCUCUAGACUUGAGGAAGGCUGAUAUGAUGUGGACCACUUCAACCAAGUGUAAUUUUUCCCUGUCUCUACAGUCAGAUCAGAUAACCACAUGCUUUUCAUAAAUACCCCACUGCCUGGCUUCCCUCCUUACUUUUGACUAGCCUCUUGGCCCCCUUGGAUUCUGACCACCUGCUCCCCAUUUCAGCUUGAAGCAGCUAUAGAAGAGUGUCAUCCCUGCUCCCUCCAAACAAACAAACAAGCAAACAAACAAACAAACAGGCUAAAGAGGUAUGUCAAAGGAAAACUCCUGGCAUUGGGGACAAAUUGUCUACCUAAUGCCCAUUGAUAUACCAGGAAACUGGAUCCAAUAUUGUCAAUUGAUAGAUUUAUCAACUAAAAUGGUUCUGCAGUAGGAUAAGACACUUGACCUUUAUGCAGAACAAAAGAGAUAUUAUAUGACCUUAAGAAAUAAUUGUUUCUAUAUAAAUCAUUCAGGAUUAUAAUCUGGCUGUACUCAAAGAUCAAAACUACAGGGAUAAGCUUUACUUAGUCUCUUGCACAUGUUUCCAGGGUUGAGCUUAAAACAAAACUAGAAACAAAGUUUAUCUAUUUAGAUAUACCCGGACAGUCUUCAGAUACUUCAGAGAUCUGCAGAAUAUGGCAUCUAAAAUGUUUAAUUAAAAAGCUUUUCAUGAUAGAGGGACAUGCUGGAUCCUGGCAGGACCUUUAUAUCCUCCAAAGAAGAAGGCUGGGCACAGAAGAACCUCCACCCAGAACUUGCUCCAGAGUGGCAGCAUCAGCCACUGAGAUGGGCACAGAAGAACCUCAACUGCUGCCAGGGCCUUCUGCAGACCAUGGACAACAGGACUCCAGGAAUCCAUUGCCUCACUUUUGCCUAGACAAAGUAGGCUGGUCCUUCCCACAAGUGCCUAUCCCACAACCAUCAGAUCUUCUGAGGCCUGGCAGCAAAAGAAUGAUGUUGUUGACCUGAGAACUCUGCCCUCAAUGACCAUGGAAGACCCUGGGGUGGUUAUCUAGGUAGCCAACAAGUAAGUCUCUGUCACUUUCAAUUGCUAACUCAGGUAAAAUUUAUCCUUCUCAGAGCUCUGAUUCCAUUGGAUGACCAGGCUUUGCUUCAGCUGCCUUCUCAAUUCUCUAUGUAAAAUUCAUAGAUCUCCCUGUCCUAGGGCUGCUACGAGGUCUAGACACAAUUUACCUUGUUAUCAGAUCAGAUAAACUCACAGAACAAAUUUUAAUAUAACGUUUUACUAUUGACUGCUCUUGGUAUCCUCUGGAGAAUCUGAUAAAGAAAUAGCUUCAAGGUUUAUUUAUAUGAAGACAGAAAAGCUGUCUCAGUUCUGUUCACUCUGAUGAUGUUUAGGAAAGCCUCCCUCCUCCUUCACUCACUCAACCACUUCCACUCAGUAAAUUUCCUCUGGAUAUAGAUUUAAAGAUAAGUUUCAUCGGGCUGAAGCCAGAAAAUGUUCAUGCCUUUUAACCUAAAGCCAUAGCCUUUUGCUAUGACACCAGGAUGUAAAUCCAUUCUAGCUGUCUGACAGAUACCUGAAGGCUCCUAGGAAAAGUUCUGCUUCUAUGUCAAGAAAUCUGGUCUGACAAAAACUUAACAGUCUCCAGAGCCCAUUUUAACCCCACCCACACAUUUUUGAGCAUAUUUUGCAAUUUCACUCCUGCCUGGGCCAAGGCCAACCCAUAAAGUGUCCUCCAGAUACACCACCUCCUGCACCAGCUCUGAGGAUGCCAACCACCAACCAAGGACGCCAACUGGGAUGGAUGCACCCCCACCUCCAGAGAAACAACAGAUGUGAUGUCUCAUAUACUCCUAAAGAACACAUCAUUCCUCAAUUAACUGCCGGUACCACCUUUUCAGGCUCAAGCAGGCACCUACCCAGCAAGCAGAGCCUGGUUUUCCAAGUUGUCUCAAUAAAGGGCAUAGUUGUUCUCAUGUCUCACUCAUUCACCCUUGGCUCUUCCGUACAACCAGGGCAUUUCUGUAUUCCAUUCUUUCUGGCAGUUAUCACUCUCCCCAUGGCUAGCCCAGCUCAUAAGUCCAGUGAUAAUCUGUUUUUUUCCUCCUAGCAACCUGCCUGCUCAGCUCCUUCAAGGAACAGAUGCCUGAGAUUUCCACACCUGAGAUCUUCACAAUGACAUCAACUAAAUCCUUCUUCACUCAUACCUCCUGCCAGGCGUGUGACCCUGAACUCCCAAUUUCCCCCUCCCACUUUAUCCAAUAUCAGCAGGAAGCAGUCUCAAGAAUUCAGUGCCUUUAUUCCCCCACUUGCUAUCCAUAACUCUUCUUUUUAUAAUAAUCACAAUGGAGGAGUGCUGGCAUUCUGGCCCACCCCUUGGGGACCCACCCUGCAUCCUGCUGUAAAGUCUCCUUUAAAAAAAAAAAGACUCCCCCUCCCCCUCUCUCUUUCCUUUCAUUCCUACUAGGUGUGCAUCUUCCCCCCCUUUUCCUUUCCC